AUGGAGAAGGGCCUGGACACGGCGGCGACGAAGCGAGGAUCCGAGGCCGAGGCGGAGGAGCCGGGGCGGAAGAAGGCGGCGGGGGCGACCAAGACGGCGAAGGUGGUGCCGUGGCUGAUGGAUUCGUUCGACCAGAUGUUCGACGAGGUGAGGCUGAAGCAUGCGGUGGCGAGGCUGAACAAGGCGAACCCCGGCGCGCCGCCGGUCGUGCCGGAGGAGCUCACCGAGGAGAGGCGGGCGGCGCUGCUGCAGGAAGAUACGGAGUGGAGGAACAGCAUGAAGGAGGAGGAGCUCGCGGCCGCGCGGAGAUACGUGGCGGAGCAAGCCCGGGCGCCACCAUCGCCGGAGGAACCCACCGACCCCAGCAAGGACAGGUGGCAGCUGGAUUAUGACCUUGGCCGCCAGGAAUUGGAAAUGAAACUGGCAAAAUGGGAGGACUUCGAGGGCUUCGACUUCGAGCGCAACACGCUUAUCCCUCCCAUGUGUUUCACCGACAACCCAAUGCCUGAUGACACCGACCACAGGCUUACUGCGCAGAUCUUUACCGUCAAGGUAGCGGGAAUAGAUGGGGAUUUGCAGUGGCCUCUGGAUGUGUUUGGUAUGGUCGCUGUGCGCGACAAGCUGGAUUACAGUCGCAAUGUUAUCUUCAACCGCACGAGGGACAACUGCCAAACCCUCACUCAACAGGAUCCAUAUUUGGUACUGGUAGGUCCUACCCGUGCUGUGCUCUAUAGUGGGUAUGUGUACUUUGAUGCCAUGCUGAAAGUGAAGGGAAGGACAGAAUUUGAGGACACUGAUCUAAGCCUUGUAUUUGAGCGCUUCUUAUGCUGUGAAAAGCUCAAUUUAUGCGUAAGCUUUGGAGAGUGCAUGCUCCGUUCCUGCGUGAGUAGCAGUCUCUACACCAGCAAGCUUAGUACAUUGGAGUUAACAUGUGGCCUCGUUGUGUCUUCUGUUGAGGCCACCAUCGCCGCGCAGAUCGUCAAGGGGUCAUGGCCAGAAGGGUCCCGAGGCCAGCUUACUGCCUGUAUCGGCAGUGUGGGUGACAUGAAUGUCAUGCUGCUCGACUGUAGAGAAGAGAAGUCGCCUGUUAUUGCUGCUGAUGGCACAAUUCAGCUCUCGCGCCGUGUUGUGUCUGUUGAGAGGUUUGGCCAACUGAUAGUCCGUGGCGUGGUGAAUCGAGGUGGUGGUGACCAUGACAAGGUUCUGGCAGAGGGUAAGGCAUCCUUUGCGCCUCUUGAUGCAGGUCGAAGCCGUGGUACGCUUGAUCUUAACGGCAUGUGUAAGCUGGAAAUCACUGUCGCCUGGUCUCUUAUCCUGAAGUACCCACCGGUUGGUGGUCUACCUCCAACCAGUUGA
rnacentral:rRNA from 1 species